rnacentral:rRNA from 1 species
UACCUGCAGCUCGAGUGGUAACCGCUUUUACUGGGCCUAAAGCGUCCGUAGCCGGUUUGGUAAAUAUCUGGGUAAAUCGUGAGGCUUAACUUCACGAAUUUCGGAUAGACUGCCAGACUUGGGAUCGGGGGAGGUCAGAGGUACUCCAGGGGUAGCGGUGAAAUGUUGUAAUCCUUGGAGGACCACCGGUAGCGAAGGCGUCUGACUAGAACGAGUCCGACGGUGAGGGACGAAGCCCUGGGGCGCAAACCGGAUUAGAUACCCGGGUAGUCCAGGGUGUAAACAAUGUGGGCUUUGUAUUGGAGGUUCCACGUGGGCGUCCAGUGCAGAAGAGAAGUUGUUAAAGCCCACCGCCUGGGAAGUACGGUCGCAAGGCUGAAACUUAAAGGAAUUGGCGGGGGAGCACAGCAACGGGAGGAGCGUGCGGUUU